CAAAAAAUAGUUUAAAUAAAACAUUAGCAUUGGAAGCUAAAAACUAAGAACAAACUCUUAUUUUUUGA
rnacentral:tRNA from 1 species